UACGGCCGCAUCACGUUGAAACACCAGUUCCCGUACGAUCACCAAAGUUAAGCAACGUCGUGCCUGAUCAAUAACUAAAUGAGUGACUGUUUGGGAAUACCAGGUGCUGUAAG